UCUCCGUUGGUGAACCAGCGGAGGGAUCAUUACCGAGUUUACAACUCCCAAACCCAAUGUGAACCAUACCAAACUGUUGCCUCGGCGGGGUCACGCCCCGGGUGCGUCGCAGCCCCGGAACCAGGCGCCCGCCGGAGGGACCAACCAAACUCUUUUCUGUAGUCCCCUCGCGGACGUUAUUUCUUACAGCUCUGAGCAAAAAUUCAAAAUGAAUCAAAACUUUCAACAACGGAUCUCUUGGUUCUGGCAUCGAUGAAGAACGCAGCGAAAUGCGAUAAGUAAUGUGAAUUGCAGAAUUCAGUGAAUCAUCGAAUCUUUGAACGCACAUUGCGCCCGCCAGUAUUCUGGCGGGCAUGCCUGUCCGAGCGUCAUUUCAACCCUCGAACCCCUCCGGGGGGUCGGCGUUGGGGAUCGGGAACCCCUCAGACGGGAUCCCGGCCCCGAAAUACAGUGGCGGUCUCGCCGCAGCCUCUCCUGCGCAGUAGUUUGCACAACUCGCACCGGGAGCGCGGCGCGUCCACGUCCGUAAAACACCCAACUUCUGAAAUGUUGACCUCGGAUCAGGUAGGAAUACCCGCUGAACUUAA
rnacentral:misc_RNA from 1 species